GAUACCUUUAACAUCAGUCCAGAGAGGCUGGGAAGGUUGCACGGAAGUACAGUCAAACUGCUGCGCGCAGUUUCUAUGUACAUUUAUUUCUGCACGUAUACCCUCCCGCCAUCCUAGGCCGGGAGGGUUUUUUAU
rfam:Sporosarcina psychrophila strain DSM 6497, complete genome.